GAUGAACGCUGGCGGCGUGCCUAAUACAUGCAAGUCGAGCGAACAGACGAGGAGCUUGCUCCUCUGACGUUAGCGGCGGACGGGUGAGUAACACGUGGAUAACCUACCUAUAAGACUGGGAUAACUUCGGGAAACCGGAGCUAAUACCGGAUAAUAUAUUGAACCGCAUGGUUCAAUAGUGAAAGACGGUUUUGCUGUCACUUAUAGAUGGAUCCGCGCCGCAUUAGCUAGUUGGUAAGGUAACGGCUUACCAAGGCAACGAUGCGUAGCCGACCUGAGAGGGUGAUCGUCCACACGGUAACUGAGACACGGUCCAGACUCCUACGGGAGGCAGCAGUAGGGAAUCUUCCGCAAUGGGCGAAAGCUUGACGGAGCAACGCCGCGUGAGUGAUGAAGGUCUUCGGAUCGUAAAACUCUGUUAUUAGGGAAGAACAAAUGUGUAAGUAACUAUGCACGCCUUGACGGUACCUAAUCAGAAAGCCACGGCUAACUACGUG
rnacentral:rRNA from 1 species